UAAUACGGGAGGCAGCAGUGGGGAAUAUUGCACAAUGGGCGCAAGCCUGAUGCAGCCAUGCCGCGUGUAUGAAGAAGGCCUUCGGGUUGUAAAGUACUUUCAGCAGUGAGGAAGGGGUGUCCGUUAAUAGCGUGCAUCUUUGACGUUAGCUGCAGAAGAAGCACCGGCUAACUCCGUGCCAGCAGCCGCGGUAAUACGGAGGGUGCGAGCGUUAAUCGGAAUUACUGGGCGUAAAGCGCAUGCAGGUGGUUUGUUAAGUCAGAUGUGAAAGCCCGGGGCUCAACCUCGGAAUAGCAUUUGAAACUGGCAGACUAGAGUACUGUAGAGGGGGGUAGAAUUUCAGGUGUAGCGGUGAAAUGCGUAGAGAUCUGAAGGAAUACCGGUGGCGAAGGCGGCCCCCUGGACAGAUACUGACACUCAAAUGCCAAAGCGUGGGGAGCAAACAGGAUUAG
rnacentral:rRNA from 1 species